UCAGAGGUCUCAAGCGUUGUUCGGAUUCAUUGGGCGUAAAGGGUGCGUAGGUGGCGCCGUAAGUCGGGUGUGAAAUUUCGGAGCUUAACUCCGAAACUGCAUUCGAUACUGCGGUGCUUGAGGACUGGAGAGGAGACUGGAAUUCAUGGUGUAGCAGUGAAAUGCGUAGAGAUCAUGAGGAACACCAGAGGCGAAGGCGGCGGACCUGGACAGGCACUGACACUCAACUACGAAAGCGUGGGGAGCAAACAGG
rnacentral:rRNA from 1 species